rnacentral:rRNA from 1 species
GACGAACGCUGGCGGCGUGCUUAACACAUGCAAGUCGAACGGUGAAGCGCCUUCCUUUUUGGUGGGUGUGGAUGAGUGGCGAACGGGUGAGUAACACGUGAGUAACCUGCCCCCUUCUUCUGGAUAACCGCAUGAAAGUGUGGCUAAUACGGGAUAUUCUGGGUCUGUCGCAUGAUGGGUCUGGGAAAGAUAUUGUUUCGGUGGGGGAUGGGCUCGCGGCCUAUCAGCUUGUUGGUGGGGUGAUGGCCUACCAAGGCGGUGACGGGUAGCCGGCCUGAGAGGGUGGACGGUCACACUGGGACUGGGACACGGCCCAGACUCCUACGGGAGGCAGCAGUGGGGAAUAUUGCACAAUGGGCGCAAGCCUGAUGCAGCGACGCCGCGUGAGGGAUGGAGGCCUUCGGGUUGUGAACCUCUUUCGCCAGUGAAGCAGGCCUGCCUCGUUUGUGGGUGGGUUGACGGUAGCUGGAUAGGAAGCGCCGGCUAACUACGUG